CAUAGGCGAUCACGCGCGGGCUGGUGCGGAGGCAGCAACUGGAGAUGCUUGCCUGGGAAAGUGGGGCCCCGGAGGCGGGGGCCUCCUGGCGCUCUGCCUCGAGAGCUGGCUGAGGAGCGAUCCAGGCCAGCUGCAGUUCCCCCAGUCCCACCGCUGGCGCAUCAUUAUAGCCUUGGCUCAGUACGCAAAACGGUGAAGAUUCGCCACGUGGUCGGGGCCAAAAGACACACAUCUGCUACUCGGAUGUACCUGGAUAAGCCUUGGAUUUGAGUCCGUAAUGCAUGGGAGCAUGUGCUAUGUGCUGUGAUAGUUAAAUGUUUGUGCCAACUUGAGUAAGGAACACCCAACGAAACUGGAUCAGCAUGGUUCUGGGUGUGGCUGAAGGGAUUUACUGGAGGAAGAAGACCCAACCUCAGGCGGCUUGUCACCUGAAAGGAAUCAAAGGGAAACAAGGAAGGCUCGCUUCUCUUUCUUUGGAGGACCUGCAGUCUUCACCUUGGACAUCAUCUCCUGGCUUCCAGCACAGACCCUUCAGUCUUCCAUCGCAGACCCUUUGGCCUCCUCAUAUGGACUCACACAGGACACUGCAGCGGGUUCCAGGCCUUUGACUGGAUCCUUCAGCCCUCCAGUGCACAGACAGAAAUUUUGCACUCCUCCAUAACUGACUCUGUGUGUGACCAUUGUUCCUCUUCAGAAUUACAAGAAAGGCCAAGCCGGGAAGAAGCAAGAGAAGAAGAAGGAAAGGGCUUUGACUCACUCCGAGGAAUGUAUUCCAUUACACGUCUGCUGGCUUCAGGCUUUAUGUAGAGCCCUUUGGUUGCCAUGACGACUGGGACUAACAAAAUACAAACCAUGAACUCUUUUAAUACCGGUGACUUGUGUGCAACAGCCCACCUCAGAACUCUGGAAGCUGAUGGUGUUUCUGAGGUAGUAUGUGUUCUACCCUCAUCCAUUUAGGGGGUUCCUCCUUCUAGUUUGAAAAUAAUCUGAAGACAUCUGCUUUGGGUUCAAGGGAAACUUGGCCAUAAUGCUUUUUGACUCUGUGGCUAAAGAGUGUAUGAAAAGCAGUGUCUUCAGCCGUGUUAUUCUAUUCUUUAUUUUGUUUUAGUUUCUUUUUUAUCAGUGUAUGUUUGUGAUACAAA